rnacentral:rRNA from 1 species
UACGAAGGGGGCUAGCGUUGCUCGGAAUCACCGGGCGUAAAGCGCACGUAGGCGGAUUGUUAAGUCAGGGGUGAAAUCCUGGAGCUCAACUCCAGAACUGCCUUUGAUACUGGCGAUCUUGAGUUCGGGAGAGGUGAGUGGAACUGCGAGUGUAGAGGUGAAAUUCGUAGAUAUUCGCAAGAACACCAGUGGCGAAGGCGGCUCACUGGCCCGAUACUGACGCUGAGG